UACGUAGGGGGCAAGCGUUGUCCGGAUUUAUUGGGCGUAAAGCGCGUGUAGGCGGCCAGGUAGGUCUGCUGUGAAAACUCGAGGCUCAACCUCGAGAUGUCGGCGGAAACCAUUUGGCUAGAGUCCGGAAGAGGAGAGUGGAAGUUCCUGGUGUAGCGGUGAAAUGCGCAGAUAUUGGGAAGAACACCAGUGGCGAAGGCG
rnacentral:rRNA from 1 species